AAGAAAAUAAAAAUGCUUUCUUCAAUUGAAAAUGAAAAAAAAUAAAAACCAUGUGGUUGGUGGCUAAGAACCUAAAUGCUACUGAAAGAAGAAAUGACACAUGAACAGAAGCUAAAGUGAAUGAUGAAAAGACACAACAGUCAAAAAAUUUCAAAGUCCAAGUUGAAUAUAAAUUUAAGAGAAACCAAUUGACAAUUCCUAUUACUCAGUGUGUCUGGAUGUGACCAAACCCACCAACUCUCCCUUCCUUUUAA
rnacentral:lncRNA from 1 species